rnacentral:rRNA from 1 species
UGGGGAAUAUUGGACAAUGGGCGAAAGCCUGAUCCAGCGACGCCGCGUGGGUGAAGAAGGCCUGCGGGUUGUAAAGCCCUUUCGGUGGGGAAGAAAAGCCUCGACCUAACACGUCGGGGUCUUGACGUAACCCAAGAAAGAAGCACCGGCUAACUCUGUGCCAGCAGCCGCGGUAAUACAGAGGGUGCGAGCGUUAAUCGGAAUUACUGGGCGUAAAGCGCGCGUAGGCGGCUUUGCAAGUCGGGUGUGAAAUCCCCAGGCUUAACCUGGGAACUGCUCUCGAGACUGCAUAGCUAGAGUAUGGGAGAGGGAAGUGGAAUUUCAGGUGUAGCGGUGAAAUGCGUAGAUAUCUGAAGGAACAUCAGUGGCGAAAGCGACUUCCUGGACCAAUACUGACGCUCAUGUGCGAAAGCGUGGGGAGCAAACAGGAUUAGAUACCCUGGUAGUCCACGCCAUAAACGAUGACAACUGGAUGUCGGGAGGGUCUGCCUCUCGGUGUCGUAGCUAAC